rnacentral:sRNA from 1 species
GCCAGGUGUGGUGGUGCACACCUGUAAUCCCAGCUAGUCAGGAGGCCGGCGAGGCAGGAGGAUCGUAAGUUUGAGGUCACUACGAGUAACUUAGGAAGACCCAGUCUCAAAAAUAAAAUUUUGGAAAGGGCUGGGGUGUAGCUCAGUGGCAGAGGGUUUACCGAGCAUGUGCCUGGGUU